GCAGUCAUCGCCUGGCCCGCCCGGUUUCUCUCGCAGCCCUCUUGCUUGGAGCACUUGCGGGCUCAGGCUGAGGGGCCCGCGGGGACCCUUGCCUCUUUUCGGGUUGGCAGAAUUGCUGGGCAAGCACGGUCGGGAGACCCAAUUCGUAAUUUAAUAAACUUAUAUUAGACCUCGCUUCUAAAUGGCACUGAGCUUGAGAGCAACUCCCAGCAGACCCGUUUAGAUGCCCCUGACUGGGGAAGGGCGCCGAGGAAGAGGGAGGUCUAACGUAAGUCCCACUUCAGCUGCUGGCAGCCACGGAACCCAGCCAGGCCGGGGAGGGGGCUGGGGGGGCGGUGCCGGGCCGCAUCCAGCUUUGCCUCCUGCCCACUCGGGUGACAUGAAGCUGCGAGAAGUUGGAGCAUGGUCUCUGCGGCCAAGGCUGGCUGGAGCUGCCCGGGGCCUGGAAGGAGCGCCCCACCGCUUGAGUCUUCUCCCCCUGCCGGUCCUGCAGCUCUACGAAGGGUCCCUUUCCUCGAGAGGCGCUCUCGGCCCACCGAAACUGGGGAGUGGUCGGCAGCGUUGGGCUGCCUUCUCCGGAUGCCAGCCGUGUGGUCAUCCAGCGGUUCCCUUAUUGGCGGGGAUCCCGACGUCCCCUCUGCCCCCGAGAUCCCUCCUCCUCCUCCUGACCCACAGAAGGAGCCCAAGCAAAACGCCGCCCCUCCCUCUGAUCGCCCAGAACGAGUCCCAGCAAAGGGCGGCCGAAGAACCGACGGGGCCCAAUCGCCUCCGGGGAGAUCCUGGCACAGGUGGGGGCGGCUAAUAGCUCACCCUCGUCUCCCCCAACGCCCCCAGAAGCUCCUUUCACGGGGAAGCCGCCGAAGCCCCCCAGGGACCCCCCCACCACCACCACCGCGAUCCUCUCCUCCCCCGCAGCCUCCCGGGCGGCGCACGUGGUCCGGGCUGGGCCGCGCGGCAGGGCGGGAAGUGUAGUUCCUCUCUCGGGCGCCCACAGGCCCCGCCCUCCCCCACCCGGAAGUGGGCUGGCCACUCCAAGAUGGCGUCUCCUCCCGCGGGGGGCCCGAUGGCGAUCGCGAUGCGGCUCCGGAACCAGCUGCAGGCCGUCUACAAGAUGGACCCGCUGCGGAACGAGGAGGAGGUGAAGGUGAAGAUGAAGGAGCUGAACGAGCACAUCGUCUGCUUCCUCUGCGCCGGCUACUUCAUCGACGCCACCACCAUCACCGAGUGCCUGCACACCUUUUGCAAGAGCUGCAUCGUGAAGUUCCUGCAGACCAGCAAGUAUUGCCCGCUCUGCAGCACCAAGAUCCACGAGACUCAGCCGCUGCUCAACCUCAAGCUGGACCGCGUCAUGCAGGACAUUGUCUACAAGCUGGUGCCUGGCCUGCAGGAGAGUGAGGAGAGGAGGAUCCGGGAAUUCUACCAGUCCCGAGGGCUGGAGCGGGGCAGCCAGGCCAGCCACGAAGACCCUGCCUCGGACCGCGUGGGCCUGCCCUACACCACCUUCGACCACUCACGGGCUCAUUAUUACCGCUUUGACGAGCACGUCACGCUGUGCCUGGAGAAGCAGAGGUGGGCCGGAUUCAGCCUCUCCUGUCUUCUCCUCUUGCAGCAGCUCUGGGAAAGAGAAGAGCAAACACGUCCUGCAGCAAAAGUACGUCCGCUGCUCCGUGCGGGCCCAGAUCCGCCACCUCCGCCGGGUUUUGUGUUGUCGACUGGAACUGGCCUUGCAAUAUGUACAGAUCCUGUUUGACAACGAGGUGCUUCCGGAUCACCUGACUUUGAAGCAACUUUGGCUCACCCGUUGGUUUGGCAAGCCGGCCCCGCUGCACCUGAACUACAGUGUGAAGGAGAAGAGGAGGUAGGGGGCGAUGGACCGUGAUGUACCCUUUCCCCCCCCCUUUUAAUUUAAGGAUUCGGCCCUUCCGUGGGCGUUUAUUUUUGUAAUAAAAAGGCUGAUGGAGGCCUUCUGGCUCCUUCAAUGAA